AGUGAACGCUGGCGGUAGGCCUAACACAUGCAAGUCGAACGGCAGCACAGUAAGAGCUUGCUCUUACGGGUGGCGAGUGGCGGACGGGUGAGGAAUACAUCGGAAUCUACUUUUUCGUGGAGGAUAACGGAGGGAAACUUACGCUAAUACCGCAUACGACCUACGGGUGAAAGCAGGGGAUCUUCGGACCUUGCGCGAUUGAAUGAGCCGAUGUCGGAUUAGCUAGUUGGCGGGGUAAAGGCCCACCAAGGCGACGAUCCGUAGCUGGUCUGAGAGGAUGAUCGGCCACACUGGAACUGAGACACGGUCCAGACUCCUACGGGAGGCAGCAGUGGGGAAUAUUGGACAAUGGGCGCAAGCCUGAUCCAGCCAUGCCGCGUGAGUGAAGAAGGCCUUCGGGUUGUAAAGCCCUUUUGUUGGGAAAGAAAAGCAGCAGGUUAAUACCCCGCUGUUCUGACGGUACCCAAAGAAUAAGCACCGGCUAACUUCGUG
rnacentral:rRNA from 1 species